rnacentral:misc_RNA from 1 species
UUGUGGAGGAGGACGCCGAAGGUGGGGCUAAUGACUGGGGUGAAGUCGUAACAAGGUAGCCGUACCGGAAGGUGCGGCUGGAUCACCUCCUAACAGGGAGACAACAAAAUGUUUAAUAUUAUUAUUUUGUCACCUUAGGUCGAUCGGUAUCUCACGUUUUUAAUUUAUUAAGAAUUUCAUUUCCUAAGUUUUUCUAGGUCACACCCAUUAUUUUUCCUGGGCCAUUAGCUCAGGUGGUUAGAGCGCACCCCUGAUAAGGGUGAGGUCCCUGGUUCAAGUCCAGGAUGGCCCAUAUCUCUAUGUUGGGGGUAUAGCUCAGUUGGUAGAGCGCCUGCUUUGCAAGCAGGAUGUCAGCGGUUCGAGUCCGCUUACCUCCACUGAUUACCACCUCUUCCAUAACCGGUAUAAAGGAAAUGUUUUGAGUUGUGAUCAAAUUCUGAAAGAAUCUAGCUUCCUAAUGAAAUCAUUAAGAUGCUGGACUCAUUGAAUUAAUUUCAUUGUUUUCAGAGAACCUUGACAACUGCAUAGAUUAUUUUUAAAGACAAUAAGCAUCUUUAAUGAUGCAGAUUUAUUAUUUGUGCGAAUGCAUUAAUAACAAUUCUAUUAAGCUGAUGCUUCAAUUUUGAAGUUAUUGGUCAAGCUACAA